AUUGAACGCUGGCGGCAUGCCUUACACAUGCAAGUCGAACGGCAGCACGGGAGCAAUCCUGGUGGCGAGUGGCGAACGGGUGAGUAAUAUAUCGGAACGUGCCCAGUCGUGGGGAUAACGUAGCGAAAGCUACGCUAAUACCGCAUACGAUCUAUGGAUGAAAGCGGGGGAUCGCAAGACCUCGCGCGAUUGGAGCGGCCGAUAUCAGAUUAGGUAGUUGGUGAGGUAAAGGACUCACCAAGCCGACGAUCUGUAGCUGGUCUGAGAGGACGACCAGCCACACUGGGACUGAGACACGGCCCAGACUCCUACGGGAGGCAGCAGUGGGGAAUUUUUGGACAAUGGGCGCAAGCCUGAUCCAGCAAUGCCGCGUGCUGGAUGAAGGCCU
rnacentral:rRNA from 1 species